rnacentral:lncRNA from 1 species
UCUUACUAUAACAGAUUCAUAACUGAAGGAUGAAGGAAGAAGUUCUGCUCGAGAUGGUAAAGCCCUAUUGGAGAUCAGCAGAAAAUAUAAAUGAAGGCAUAGACCAAGUGCAGACGACCGGGGAGUGGGUUUAUGGGGACUUUUGGGUCCAGAGAACACAUAUCCUAUCUAAAGUGGGUAGCUGCUACUCUUGCUCAUUUUUAGUGGAUUAAUUUUUUUCUAAAAAGGUCAUGCAUGCAGAUAUUCCUGUUAAAUCUUCAUCUGAAAAACAUGUUGCCGCAUCUAGACAUUGAGCAUCAAUGAUUAACACAACAAAAAGUGGGAUGAUGAAUGUAUCACUGCCCAUAAAGCAGUAUUGUAAUAAAAUUGGAAUAUGAA